GUGGAGGUCAUGAAUCGCUGACAGGGAAACCCGCAUUCAGAGAGCUUUAAAACCUGUCAUCACUGCAUCGAGAGGGUGGAGAGAAAAGGAAAAUACUGCUUUUCGGGGCUGGUGUCGAUACAGCAGAAGUGAAAGAGAAUGGCUAAUACACCUUACGUGAUGACGAAUCGAUUACCGUCCUUCCUAGUGUUUUUGAAGAGAGCCCAGAGCCAGUAGACCAUAAGGCUGAGGGUAGCGUGACCGGUGGUGGAUGUCCAUGAUGGAGUGGGCCGAAAUGCUCAUCCCACAGCGCAACCGAUCCUGACCUACGCGGCCUUCUCUGCAUUUAUUCCUCUCUCCCGUAACUCCUGCCAGAUUGAGGCCUCCGUUGGGUCAUUACCCACAAGCCUCUUUAUUAAACUCAUCUGUCAAACGGCACAUCAUAAAGCAAAAACUGAGCAGUGAAAAAGCAGACCCAGAUCUCUCCGUCUAUUAGGUAAGCAUCCCAAAUCAUUAUCUCCCCGUCUCUGCUUGACUUUCUCUGUAUGGGAAGUCAAUGUUAUUGACACACAGGCUUACAGGAGCUUUCUAAACCAUCUCUUCAUGGUGUAUUAUUCCCAGCUGGAGUCGAGAGGUGAACGUGUCUUUGCCUAAUGGGCUGUUUUUUUGGAGUUUUCGAAGCAUUUUUUUUUGGGUUUCUGAAUCUGAUAUGUAAUGCGGUAAGUGGGAGAUUUAAGAAGGGAGGCUGCAAAUGUUAUUAAACUGACAUUUACUUUUGCACCAUCAAUUAGCUUUGAUACUAGUAGCAGAAGUUAUGCUGCAACCAGUCGGGCUUGAAAGAUCAAUAGCAAACUGAG